ACACGAUACUCACAUACGGGGGAUCGUGCUUGACACCUUGACUUGCGUUGCGGCUGUGGAGCCGCCCACGGGGAGAUCCACGUGAAGAGUUUUGCCCACGUGGG
rnacentral:ribozyme from 1 species